UCUCUUGGCAGUCACAGCCUUGGGACUUAGGGCGACUGUUGGCUCCCCAACUCUGGCAGUUUGGCCUUGGCGGUUGAAAGACCAGUGUGCUGUUUUUAAACCCAGACCAUAGGUGGGGAGAGUGAGGCUCCGAAACCUAUUAAAUCUGUACAUCUUUUAAAAAGCCGCCAACACAGAUGAGGAUGCACUAAGAUGAGCAUUUAUUCUUCUCUUGCUGGUGGAAGUUUAGAAUGUUCUAUCUCUUUGGAAAAUAAUUUGGGGAAUAUGGGUCACAAAUAUGAAAAUAAAUGGUUACUAACUCUGAUCCAUGAA